rnacentral:rRNA from 1 species
UACGUAGGGCGCAAGCGUUGUCCGGAAUUAUUGGGCGUAAAGAGCUCGUAGGCGGCUUGUUGCGUCGGUUGUGAAAGCCCGGGGCUUAACCCCGGGUCUGCAGUCGAUACGGGCAGGCUAGAGUGUGGUAGGGGAGAUCGGAAUUCCUGGUGUAGCGGUGAAAUGCGCAGAUAUCAGGAGGAACACCGGUGGCGAAGGCGGAUCUCUGGGCCAUCACUGACGCUGAGGAGCGAAAGCGUGGGGAGCGAACAGG